GGGCUCGCCUCGGCAGCACAGAUACUAAAACCAGGACGAUACAGAGAAGGUUAGCGUGGCCCCUGUGCAAGGAUGACACAAAUUCAUGAAGCGUUCCAUGUGUUU